GAUGAACGCUGGCGGCGUGCCUAAUACAUGCAAGUCGAGCGAGCAGACGAGGAGCUUGCUCCUCUGACGUUAGCGGCGGACGGGUGAGUAACACGUGGAUAACCUACCUAUAAGACUGGGAUAACUUCGGGAAACCGGAGCUAAUGCCGGAUAAUAUAUUGAACCGCAUGGUUCAAUAGUGAAAGACGGUUUUGCUGUCACUUAUAGAUGGAUCCGCGCCGCAUUAGCUAGUUGGUAAGGUAACGGCUUACCAAGGCAACGAUGCGUAGCCGACCUGAGAGGGUGAUCGGCCACACUGGAACUGAGACACGGUCCAGACUCCUACGGGAGGCAGCAGUAGGGAAUCUUCCGCAAUGGGCGAAAGCUUGACGGAGCAACGCCGCGUGAGUGAUGAAGGUCUUCGGAUCGUAAAACUCUGUUAUUAGGGAAGAACAAAUGUGUAAGUAACUAUGCACGUCUUGACGGUACCUAAUCAGAAAGCCACGGCUAACUACGUG
rnacentral:rRNA from 1 species